rnacentral:rRNA from 1 species
GAUGAACGCUGGCGGCGUACCUAAUACAUGCAAGUCGAGCGAACAGACGAGGAGCUUGCUCCUCUGCCGUUAGCGGCGGACGGGUGAGUAACACGUGGAUAACCUACUUAUAUGACUGGGAUAACUUCGGGAAACCGGAGCUAAUACCGGAUAAUAUAUUGAACCGCUUGGUUCAAUAGUGCAUGACGGUUUUGCUGUCACUUAUAGAUGGUUUCGCGCUGCAUUAGCUAGUUGGUAAGGUAACGGCUUACCAAGGCAACGAUGCGUAGCCGACCUGAGAGGAUGAUCGGCCACACUGGAACUGAGACACGGUCCAGACUCCUACGGGAGGCAGCAGUAGGGAAUCUUCCGCAAUGGGCGAAAGCCUGACGGAGCAACGCCGCGUGAGUGAUGAAGGUCUUCGGAUCGUAAAACUCUGUUAUUAGGGAAGAACAAAUGUGUAAGUAACUAUGCACGUCUUGACGGUACCUAAUCAGAAAGCCACGGCUAACUACGUG